ACUCCUACGGGAGGCAGCAGUGGGGAAUAUUGCACAAUGGGCGCAAGCCUGAUGCAGCCAUGCCGCGUGUGUGAAGAAGGCCUUCGGGUUGUAAAGCACUUUCAGUCGUGAGGAAGGUAGUGUAGUUAAUAGCUGCAUUUAUUGAUCGUUAGCGAACAAGAAGAAGCGACCGGCUAACUCCGUGCCAGCAGCCGCGGUAAUACGGAGGGUGCGAGCGUUAAUCGGAAUUACUGGGCGUAAAGCGCAUGCAGGUGGCUUGUUAAGUCAGAUGUGAAAGCCCGGGCUCAAGCCUCGGAAUUGCAUUUGAAAACUGGCAAGACUAGAGUACUGUAGAGGGGGUGAGAAUUAUCGAGGUGUAGCGGUGAAAAUGCGUAGAGAUCUGAAGGAAUACCGGUGGCGAAGGCGGCCCCCUGGACAGAUACUGACACUCAGAUGCGAAAGCGUGGGAGCAAACAGGAUUAGAUACCCUGGUAGACAUCA
rnacentral:rRNA from 1 species